AUGGAAGGGAGAGACAGCGGACCC
rnacentral:piRNA from 1 species